ACGCAUCUGUGCAUGCAGCAUAUCAAUAAGCGGAGGAAAAGAAACUAACAAGGAUUCCCUUAGUAACGGCGAGUGAAGCGGGAAGAACUCAAAUUUGAAAUCUUCAAGGUUUUACCUUGACGAAUUGUAGUUUAAAGAAGUGUUUUCUGUUGAAGUUUUGGUAAAAGUUCUUUGGAAUAGGACAUCAUAGAGGGUGAGAAUCCCGUAUUUGACCAUUAUUUUCAGCUGUGUGAUACACUUUCAAAGAGUCGGAUUGUUUGGGAAUGCAGUCCAAAAUGGGUGGUAAAUUUCAUCUAUAGCUAAAUAUUGGCGAGAGACCGAUAGCGAACAAGUACCGUGAGGGAAAGAUGAAAAGAACUUUGAAAAGAGAGUUAAACAGUACGUGAAAUUGUCAAAAGGGAAGCGUUUGACACCAGUGUUGUUUUCUCGAAAAUCAAUUAAAAAGAGUUUGAUUUUGUUGUGUAUUGACCUAAACAGCUUGCAUUUCAAUUUUCUUGCUUUUUUUAAUGCACUUUUCGUUUAACAAGUCAACAUCAGUUUCUUUUGUUGUAAAAAGGUCAUUGGAAGGUGGCUUUCUCUUCGGCGCAAGUGUUUAUAGCCUUUGAUCUCUGCAAUCGGAGAGAUUGAGGUCUGCAGCGUAGAUCCUUCGGGGUUAGAUACAUUUGUGCUAAGCUAUAGCCUUUUAUAGACAACUUGUUGACUAUGCUCAGUCUUGUAGCUUACUCGCUUAUGCUAUUUUACCUACGCUUAGGAUGUUGACAGCAGUAUAGACUGU
rnacentral:rRNA from 1 species